rnacentral:rRNA from 1 species
UAGGGAAUCUUCCGCAAUGGGCGAAAGCUUGACGGAGCAACGCCGCGUGAGUGAUGAAGGUCUUCGGAUCGUAAAACUCUGUUAUUAGGGAAGAACAAAUGUGUAAGUAACUAUGCACGUCUUGACGGUACCUAAUAAGAAAGCCACGGCUAACUACGUGCCAGCAGCCGCGGUAAUACGUAGGUGGCAAGCGUUAUCCGGAAUUAUUGGGCGUAAAGCGCGCGUAGGCGGUUUUUUAAGUUGGAUGUGAAAGCCUGCGGCUCAACCGUGGAGGGUCAUUGGAAACUUGAAAACUUGAGUGCAGAAGAGGAAAGUGGAAAUCCAUGUGUAGCGGUGAAAUGCGCAGAGAUAUGGAGGAACACCAGUGGCGAAGGCGACUUUCUGGUCUGUAACUGACGCUGAUGUGCGAAAGCGUGGGGAUCAAACAGG